GCCGGCUGUGGCUCCCAUUAAAGCAGUUACAGUUUUACCCUCAACACAGAGCCUCGUCUCAUGUCUGUAGGGAACAGCAAUAACAGCUAUUUCACUAUGUUUUAGGAUUCUCACUUCCAGGAUUAUUGCAAUUCUACUCACACUGUGGAAAAGAACAUCUCUGGCGGCGAAACCUCUCUACCCAUCAGGGUGUCCGCCACAGUAUACAGAGAAGAGAGUGCAAAAAAUCUCACUGUGAGCGUGUAUAAGAUCAUUUUACACGGGUAAAGAGGCUGGAACGUUUCAUAAAGUUUCUAGUGUAAAAUGAAGUGUGCUUAAGACGGGCUUCUGAGAGCUGCAGCUUGAAGAUGGA